CAUCACGGGCCCGCCGGGGGUCGCGCGCCCACCCACUUCCGGGGGCGCCGUGGAGUAGGCGCUGCGGCCGGCUGGUGCGGUGUGAUUUGUGCACGCUGCGGACAGCCAAGCGGUCUUGCAGACCACCGACACCUCCAGAACCUCCCAGAGACCCCCUGCCGCCCCCUAGAACCCGGCCCGUCGUCCCUUCAGGACCGGCCGUCGUACCUCAGAACCCGGCCCGUCGUCCCUUCAGGACCGGGCGGUUGUACCUCAGAACCCGGCCCGUUGGCCCUUCAGGACCCGCCCGCCAGCCUUGGGUUCUCAGAACGUAAGGCGAGGAGAGGGCGGCCGGGAGGGGCCCCGGGGGGCGGCUCUAUGGCGACCGGAGGCGGGAGGAGGCGAGCCGGCGGGCGCAGGUGGACAGGUGUCUAGGUGGUUCCCCUUCUAACGGACGUGUCGCCCUCGAGCGCACAGACCGAAAGCUUUAAUCUUCCAAACUUGUGCUUCUUCGAGGACGGCAUGGUGUGGCGGUAACAGACGCCGCUGGUGCCGGGGACAGGACUCCUGACGGGAGGUGGCCGGCCUCGGACCCAGUGCGAGCCCAGAUGUAGGCUCCACAGCUGGCAUGGAGCCCAACAUGGGACUCGAACCCACAACAAUGAGAUGAAGACCUGGGCCAAGAUCAAGAGUCAGACACUUAACCAACUGAGCCACCCAGUGCCCCCUAAUAAAAAUAUCUCACAGAUCUUGAGUUAUUGUCACUAUAUCCCUAAAUGAUGAAGAUCAUCAAAGGAAGCUUUAGGAACGUGAACUUCGGGGUGGUUUGACAAGCUACUUCACUACCUGGUAUAGUUCUUUAGGCAUUUGUAAGUAGAAACAGCUAAAUCCAAGGGACCAAGGAACAAAGCCAGUGGCCCCAGAAAAAGCAGGAACAGUCAGUGCUGGUGAUUAUUCCUGAGAACGGGCAGGUGCCUGCCCCAGUGCUCACACACAAAAGCCCGGUAAUGAGCAGGCUUCACCGCGCGUUCCCAGUAAGAGGACAAAGGGCCUGGGCAUCUCCAUGGAGGUGCAAAGAUCUUCAAGUGAGAAGAAAAAGCAAAUUGUACAACAAAACGUAGACUGUCCACAAGGGGAGAAGUCCGCUCUGGGAAAUCACAUAUGCAUGGGACCCCUGGGAAAGGAUGAAGAGAUCUGCUCCAAACUUUACUGUGAUACGUGUGGGUGCAGAGGGACUGUCCUUCUUUACCUGAUGUCGGUGUUUGACAUGCAGAUUCCUGUACAAGAUUCCGGGCAGCACCCAGUGUUCGGAGACAGAGACCAUGCACCACUGCGUGACACUCCGUGCCCCCCAACCCCCACACAAAGGCAUUCACCUCACAAAAAUCCGAAGUGGUUGCUACAAUUCUUACCCCAUUUGGCAGGUAAGGAAACUGAAGCCUAGGUGGGCUCCAAGUCAGUAGGUCAAGGAAAUGGAGGCCUGGAAUCUGGACAGCUUGAUCUCCUGGAGCCCCUGUGCUUAAUCAGAAACCCGCAGGGUGGCCGCCCUACCUCUCGGACUCUCUGCGUGGGGAGCAGGACCAAUCAACUCAGGUCCGAGGAAAACAUGCCAAGAAUGGCUGUCUAGAAUGAUCCAGACCUACUUCUAGCCUGAAGAGGAAUGCACUUUGUGGUCCUGUGGGCCAGAGCUCAGUUCUGGAGGUGGGAGGAUCUAGGUUUAAAUCCUUACCAGCCGCAUGAUCUCGGGCAAGGUCAGUGGUUCUUGAGCACCUGGGGAAACAGGGAGAACACACUAUCCCAAACCACAAUGGGCCUCACUUAGUGGAGAGAUAGGUGCUUUCCGUAUAUGUAAAUUGUGGGUCAUAAAAUCUGACUAUCCUGGCCCUGAUCUGAAUCCCCACGUAGUACCCAACACAUAACAGCGUGACAAAGGUUGGGUUUCUCCCGGUAAGUUCCAUUCAGAAAUGGGGAUACCGUCAUUGUGGAAGGUGAGAAGGUAGAAAUGCCCCCACAGAAGAGACAUUGUUAGAGUUUUGAGAGGAUGCUUGAAGUCUUACUGUUAAGGAAGCCUGGCUUACAAAGGUUAAGUGAUGAGCUCAGCUGAGAGCUGUUCUGUUUGUGGAAAUCUGGACAGCAACCAGCUAUUGUCCCAACCUCAGCCCACUUCCUCUGUGUGCCGCCCUCAACAUCCAAAUUUGGUGUAGUUUUUUUGGACUCUCCCACCGCCCCCCCCGGCCCCCAAUCAAGAAGUCUUGGAAAAGCACCAUGUUCUGUUAACUAUAAAAGGCAUUAGAUUAAUUUUGCACAUGGUUGCCGCAAAUGUGUUUGACUUCCCUGUUUUUGCCCAUUAGUCCAGAUACACCGGUUACAUCCAUUAAUACGGAGCUGCUUUUCAGGGGGUUUGAUUACAGCUGCUUGGAAACUUACUUAGCUAGAAACUUGCUAUCCAGAAUUUACUCUCUGUUCUUGUGAGAAUUGCUGGAAAAUGUUGACUUACAGAGACAUUUUCUAUGUUUCACUGUAUGAGUGUGUUCUACCAGGUAGACUGAUGGAGGGAGGACCACUUCUUAGAGAAUGAAGGCUGUUGUUUGGAUUUAAAUAUGGUAAUAUAUAUUAUUUAGUAAUAUAUAUUAUGUAAUAUAUAUUAUGAUGAGAGUUACCAUGUGACCCAGCAUAAAAUUGUCACCUGUGUGCAUAGAACGUAUGUACUUAAUUUAUGAAAUACUUAGAAAUAUUUGCCUAGUAGAAUUAGAAGACUUCCCAUAAAACUUAAAACUUAGUGUUUAUCUAAGAUAAACAUUUAGCAAAUAUUUGGUGAGUGCGUUCUCUGAGCCAGGCGCUUGUAAUUGGUUACCGCCUUGGAUUUUGAAAUAUCUGCUGCUGUUACUUUUUCUUUCUUUCUCUCUCAACUUUUUUUUUUUUUUUAAACCACAAUCCCAACAAUGUGAGAUGCUAAUUUCCUGAAUGUGCAAGACACUCACCUGAUGGGUAAUCAGCAUUUUGCAAAAAGGGCAUGAUUCUUGUUUUGGUUUCCUCUGGCUACAUCUGAGGACAGUCCUUGGUGACUGUCAAGGUCUGGAGGACAGUGGCACCUCCCAGGCAGGGGCCAGCACGUGCACUGCCUGACCAGGUCCCUUGCAGAGUGCUCCUAAGACCUGUACACAUAGCAGUUAAAAAUCGUAUUUACUCAUUUUUAUGGAUGGGGCAAUACUAAAAAAAAAAAAAAAAAAAAAAAUCGAUGUACGCAUGAGAUAAACGUGUAGAAUUUUAGCUCUCUGAAAAAUGUGCUCAGAGGAAGAUAUGUUCCAAGUCUUCUACCAUCCGAGGGCAUUUCU